AUCAAGUUGUUUCUCUGUUUUAACCGACAAUCUCCCAUACUUCUUCUUUUACUCUUUCUUCCUUCUUUCCUCUUAUUUUCUUCUUCCUCAUUUCUUCUUCCUGUCUUCCCCAAACACGUAUAGAGACGAGAGAGAGAGAAGCAGAGAUGAGAGACCGAGGGAGAUCGAGAGGUUGAGAGACUGAGUUUGAGAGAGAGAGAUGCUGAGAGAGAGUGGAACAGAGAGAGAGAUCGACGGGAGAGAGAGAGGAUCCGAUCGACGGUGGGCCAGCACCGACAGAGCAGGAGGCCGGAGGUGCGAUUUCCGGCCAAUCAUGGGUGGGUCGUUGUCGGAAGCGAUUUCCAGCGGCCUGUGAUGCAAUUCCGGCGAGUGGCUCCGACCGGUUCUACCAUUUUUCUUGGUGGAUUUUCUGGGUGAUGAGUUAAGAGACUGCACUGGAAGUGUUGAUGUCUUAAUGAUACGUGAAAAUUCAGAAUUGCCCUAUUCUGGAAGGCGGUUGCAGAAGACCGUCCGGACGAGGCUAACUUCCGUCCGGACACUCGAUAGUCAGAGUUCGAAUUUGAGUAGAUUUAGGAUUUCUGUAAGCCUAUAAAUAGAUGGCUCUAGGCUUGUAAUUUGUAUGAAUUCUGUAUCGAAUUCCAUAGUGCAUAAAGGGUGUUUAGGAAGAAUUGAAGAUCCGCUAGCUCUCUAGCCGUUGCCGGUGUGUGCUCCUUAUUCGUGUGAAGUCUAUCUUAGGGGUCGACCCUAAGGUAAAUAAUUUCAUCAAAGACCCCUUCAAGUAGAAGACUUGGUUGGGAAGCGUUCACGAUGGGUUUUGUGUUCUAGUUAAAGGUAUGACUACUGUAAUGGGUUUUGUGAGUAUGAGUGCUUUGUAACUUGCUUUGUCUUUGGAUAGUGAAUUUCUUGGGUUUGGUUGCCCCGCAAUCAUUUUUCUUUUCACAGAGUUUCUACUUCGUCAACAAA